rnacentral:rRNA from 1 species
UACGAAGGGGGCUAGCGUUGUUCGGAAUUACUGGGCGUAAAGCGCGCGCAGGCGGUUCUCCAAGUCAGUGGUGAAAGCCCGGAGCUCAACUCCGGAAUUGCCAUUGAAACUGUAGAACUUGAGGACGAGAGAGGUGAGUGGAAUUCCCAGUGUAGAGGUGAAAUUCGUAGAUAUUGGGAAGAACACCGGUGGCGAAGGCGGCUCACUGGCUCGUUUCUGACGCUCAGGCGCGACAGCGUGGGGAUCAAACAGG